CCAUAGCACAUUGAAACACUGGUUCUCAUACAAUCACUGAAGUUAAGCAACUUUAUACCAAGUCAGUACCUAGAUGGGUGACCACUUGAAAAAUACCAGGUGCUGUAA